rnacentral:rRNA from 1 species
AAGCGUUUUCUUGGGCUCGCGGCCGGUAGAAGUUCUUUGGAACAGGACAUCAUAGAGGGUGACAAUCCCGUCCGUGACCGGUCGUGCGUUCAUCUACGAUACGCUUUCAAAGAGUCGAGUUGUUUGGGAUUGCAGCUCCAAAUGGGUGGUAAACAUCACCUAAGGCUAAAUAUUGGCGAGAGACCGAUAGCGAACAAGUACCGUGAGGGAAAGAUGAAAAGAACUUUGAAAAGAGAGUUAAACAGUACGUGAAAUUGUUGAAAGGGAAACGAUUGAAGUCAGUCGUGCUGGCGCGAAAUCAACCAUCUCGUCUUGAGGUCGCAUGGCGCGACGAGCCUCAAAACAGUCACGAAGUGUGAACUCUUGACGAAAAGGUGCACUUUCGUGUCCGCUGGUUAACACCAAUUUCGACCGUCAUAAAAAGGCUGGAGGGAUGUGGCUCCUUCGGGAGUGUUAUAACCUCUAGCGGAAUGUGGUGUUCGGGAUUGAGGAUUGCAACGAAUACCUUCAGGGCUGUUCCACCUGGCUUCUCAUUGGUAUCCUGGUGACGACAGCUUGC